CACCUCUCCAGCUGCCACAUCUAAGUUGGAGGGGGGCUAGUCCCCCCGGGGAGGGCCAACUCCACUGUGCCUGCUCCUCCUGGCCAGUGCUGGUCCCCUGUCAGCCCCACAGCACCCAGUCUGUUCGUCAUCAGUCCUGCCUCUAGGUACUCACCCCAAAAAACGCAAACAAAGGCUCACACAGGAACAGUGGCAGCAAAAAGCUGGAAACAGACAAAUGUCCAGGAAACGGGUGAACCAGCUGUGGUGUAUGCAGACGGUGCGAGUCUGUGCAGCAAUAAAAAGGAGGGACCACAGACCAUCAACGUGGUGAAUCCCAGAGCCACAGCAUCGAGCCAGACACAAGAGAGAGCAUUCUGUGUGAUUCCGUAGAUGUCACAACCAACAGCGGGCAAAGCUAAGGAAUGGGGACAAAAGGCAGAAGAGGGGGCCUUCCCGGGGGCGGAGCAUGCUCCGCAUCUUGACCGGGGUGGUAGUCAAGCGGGCAUGCAGAUCUGCCCACUUCAGGAAUGUGCACUGUACUGUAUGUGGGUUAUACCUCCUUUUAUAAAAUGAUGAUGACAACGCAGGCGAGAGAUGAAGCGGGAUUGGGGUAGGGGACAGAGGAGGGAUGUGAAGGGUCAGAAAGUGAUAUGAUGUUGGGUCCCAUUGCUCUGGGGACCCCUCCCGGGGAACAGUGUGUUCAGCCACCGAGUCGCAGGCCCCCAGACUGUGCCAGAGGAGAAGCCCACCGAGAGCUCUGGGCUGGGCAGGUGCUGGAGGCCUGGUGAGGGGGCGUCAUGGAAACCUGGUGUGGGGCCUGGUCCAAGGCCACAUGGAGUCAGGACCAGCACAUCUCCAGUCUCGGGGACCCCGCGGAACUUGGUGCAGGUCAGGAGCUCAGAACCCGAUGAUGGAGGAGUGAUGAGGGAACGAGCGAAUGAACGAAUGAGAGGAAGAGGUCGGGGCCAGGCUCCGGGGAAAUUCUUUUGCUGUGAGGCGUUUCCUCCCCUGAAAAUGGCUGGGUGGCAGACCCCCACUCCCGAGGCUCUGAAUGGGCUCCAGGCUCUCAGAGGCCCCCGUGCUGCUGCCGUCUGGACACUUCACGAUUGUUGAACACAGGGCCCCACGUCUUUGUUCUGCGCUGGGCCUGCCUAUUCCGUAACCUGCCCUGGUUCUGGCCUGGGGACAGGGGUCUCUGAGCAGCUUGGGGAAGGGGAGAGGAUGCCAAGACUGAUGCAGAACAGCUGUCGGGGGGAUUUGGGGCUCCCAGACACACACACGCAGCCACACCGUUGCUGGGGACAGUGGGGGUUUCAGGGUGUAGUUAUGGUGACGUCAGGGGAGGAGACCCCCAAGGACCAGAUCCUGUUGAGACCCAGGCUUCUCUCCACCCCUCGAGGUCCCCAGAGGUGGCGCCAGCACAGGGGGUGAGGGACGUCUGUAUCAGCGGGCGCCGUGGCCCGAGGCUCCCUACGGUCGUGGGUGGGGCUGGCCUUUCUGUCCCCGGGCAGGAGGCCACACACAGCAGCUCCAGAGGAAGGAAGAGGAGCUCGUGGCGUGGCUGAUCCCGCCCAGGACAGGUCAGAUCACACACACCCAGGAGAGGGAGCCCACCGGCCAGCUCUGGACCCCGGGGAGGAGAGACCAAGCCCACAGCCCCGUGACCUCUGUCCCCUCAGCAAGCUCCACCCACUGAACUGUGACCUCUCCUGUCUGCCCCUCACUCCUCCCAACACACACACACACACACUCACUCAAAGAUACGCACACAUCUACACACAUAUACACACAGCGUCCCGGAAUCUGGCC
rnacentral:lncRNA from 1 species